rnacentral:rRNA from 1 species
CAGCAGCCGCGGUAAUACAGAGGGUGCAAGCGUUAAUCGGAAUUACUGGGCGUAAAGGGCGCGUAGGUGGUUGCGUAAGUGAGAUGUGAAAUCCCCGGGCUUAACCUGGGACGUGCAUCUUAUACUGCGUAACUGGAGUGCAAGAGAGGGUAGUGGAAUUUCCGGUGUAGCGGUGAAAUGCGUAGAUAUCGGAAGGAACACCAGUGGCGAAGGCGGCUACCUGGCUUGACACUGACACUGAGGCGCGAAAGCGUGGGGAGCAAACAGGAUUAGAUACCCCCGUAGUCCCUGUCUCUUAUAC